rnacentral:rRNA from 1 species
CCUACGGGUGGCAGCAGUGGGGAAUAUUGCACAAUGGGCGAAAGCCUGAUGCAGCAACGCCGCGUGAAGGAAGAAGGCUUUCGGGUUGUAAACUUCUUUUCUCAGGGACGAAGCAAGUGACGGUACCUGAGGAAUAAGCCACGGCUAACUACGUGCCAGCAGCCGCGGGAAUACGUAGGUGGCAAGCGUUAUCCGGAUUUACUGGGUGUAAAGGGCGUGUAGGCGGGAAAGCAAGUCAGAUGUGAAAACCAUGGGCUCAACCUGUGGCCUGCAUUUGAAACUGUUUUUCUUGAGUACUGGAUAGGCAGACGGAAUUCCUAGUGUAGCGGUGAAAUGCGUAGAUAUUAGGAGGAACACCAGUGGCGAAGGCGGUCUGCUGGACAGCAACUGACGCUGAGGCGCGAAAGCGUGGGGAGCAAACAGGAUUAGAUACCCGAGUAGUC